AUUAUAUAAUUUUACAUUAUUAAUAUUAUGUUGUGUUAAUAAACGAAGGUUGUGGUACGAAUAUAUGUUGAAUAUUGUGUGAAUUUUUUGGUAUACUGUUAGGUGUAGCUGUAAAUUAUAUAUUUUUAACACGGUUUAUAACCUUUAUUGUAUUUCCUUUUUGCUUUUGUAGGGAAUUCUGGUGACAAAUGCAAGGGUAAAGCUGUAUCUGAAACGUCUGAUUUUAUCUAGAAUAGUCCUCGAGUUACAAGAGGUAGUGUGAAGGGGAAAGGCAAACUGAUUGCGACUGAUGACGUGAGUGGACCUGCAAAUGUUGCUCAACUACGUGAAGGAGAAAUACUUAAGAUAAAAUUGAGUGAGACUCAUAACAAGGAAGCGUCUGGUGGUGGUUCGGACGUACCAAAAGUUAGAGUUGUGUCUCCAGUUGCUCCUGCCAAAAAGGCUAUAAUUGAUAAACGUAUUUAUAAAUAAUUUUAUUGAUUAGCCUGUAAUUUGUGUAUUUAUAAAUAAUUUAUAAUCUAAACGAAUAUAAUGUUAAAAAAUUUAAUGUUGUUCUUCGUUUAUUUAAUCCA